rnacentral:misc_RNA from 1 species
AAGCAACAAUUUUUAGGGUUUGAAUAAAUCGGAAAAGGAAAGAGAUGAAUGUGAUGCGUCGCCUCAAGAGCAUUGCGUCUGGACGAUCUUCCAUUUCCGAUCCUGGAGUGGAUAUUAGUCUAAAGAGACUGAAGAAUGAGCAAGAAGUAGAUCACAGGGUUGAUAUUGAAUUUCAAAUGGAAGAGCGAUGUACUAUAGCGUCAAAGGAUGAUGUGACUUCUACAUCUGAGGGAAGUGAUGCAAGUACAUUGACUGUCGAUACAAGGCAGGAAAAAUCUGGAAAGGAGAAGCUUCCAAAUGAAAUGAGAAUUAGAGAGAAAAGUUCUUAUGACCAUGAGGAUGACUUAAAGGAUAUGGAGCCUACUGUUGUUAGUGGUAAUGGAACAGAAACAGGCCAGAUAAUUGUGACUACUCUGAGUGAUCGAAAUGGACAGAAGAAACAGACACUGUCUUACAUGGCUGAACGUGUGGUGGGUACGGGAUCAUUUGGAGUUGUGUUUCAGGCCAAGUGCCUAGAAACAGGUGAGUCUGUGGCCAUAAAGAAGGUCUUGCAGGAUAGGAGAUACAAAAACAGGGAACUACAGAUUAUGCGCAUCCUUGAUCAUACUAAUGUUGUUCACCUGAGGCACUGUUUCUAUUCUACUACUGAGAAGAAU